rnacentral:rRNA from 1 species
GACGAACGCUGGCGGCGUGCUUAACACAUGCAAGUCGAACGGAAAGGCCCCUCUGUGGUUACUCGAUUGGCUAACGGGUGAGUAACACGUGCGUAACCUGCCUUCGACUGCGUGAGAACUUCAUUAAACUGGGUGUAAUACCUGCUAGGAAUGCUCUCUGCAUGGAGGGUGUUGGAAAGCUUGUGGGGGUGGGGAUGGACUGACUGCCUGUCCGCUUGGUGGUGGGGUGGUGGGUUACCUAGGGUUUGAUGGGUAGCCGGCCUGGGAGGGCGGACGGCCAACAUGGGACUGGGAAAAGGGCCAGAAUCCUAAGGGAGGGAGGCGGUGGGAAUAAUGCAAAAAGGGCGGGAGCCUGAAGCAGGAACGCCGCGGGCGGGAUGAAGGGCUUUGGGUUGUAAACCGCUUUCAGCAGGGGAGAAGCUUGUAGUGACGGUAACUGCAGAAGAAGCACCGGCUAACUACGUG